rnacentral:rRNA from 1 species
UCUGUUGUCAGGGAAGAAACAAGUACCGGAGUAACUGCCGGUACCUUGACGGUACCUGACCAGAAAGCCACGGCUAACUACGUGCCAGCAGCCGCGGUAAUACGUAGGUGGCAAGCGUUGUCCGGAAUUAUUGGGCGUAAAGCGCGCGCAGGCGGUUCCUUAAGUCUGAUGUGAAAGCCCCCGGCUCAACCGGGGAGGGUCAUUGGAAACUGGGGAACUUGAGUGCAGAAGAGGAGAGCGGAAUUCCACGUGUAGCGGUGAAAUGCGUAGAGAUGUGGAGGAACACCAGUGGCGAAGGCGGCUCUCUGGUCUGUAACUGACGCUGAGGCGCGAAAGCGUGGGGAGCGAACAGGAUUAGAUACCCUGGUAGUCCACGCCGUAAACGAUGAGUGCUAAGUGUUAGAGGGUUUCCGCCCUUUAGUGCUGCAGCAAACGCAUAAGC